CAGUCGCCACGGGAAUACGUAGGUGGCAAGCGUUGUCCGGAAUUAUUGGGCGUAAAGCGCGCGCAGGCGGAUAGGUCAGUCUGUCUUAAAAGUUCGGGGCUUAACCCCGUGAUGGGAUGGAAACUGCCAAUCUAGAGUAUCGGAGAGGAAAGUGGAAUUCCUAGUGUAGCGGUGAAAUGCGUAGAUAUUAGGAAGAACACCAGUGGCGAAGGCGACUUUCUGGACGAAAACUGACGCUGAGGCGCGAAAGCCAGGGGAGCGAACGGGACUAGAUACCCCCGUAGUCCCUGUCUCUUAUACC
rnacentral:rRNA from 1 species